UACGGAGGGGCCAGCGUUGUUCGGAAUUAUUGGGCGUAAAGGGCGCGUAGGCGGCCAGCACAAGUCAGUUGUGAAAUCUCCGAGCUUAACUCGGAAAGGUCAACUGAUACUGUGCGGCUAGAGUGCGGAAGGGCAACUGGAAUUCUUGGUGUAGCGGUGAAAUGCGUAGAUAUCAAGAGGAACACCUGCGGCGAAGGCGGUUGCUGGGCCGACACUGACGCUGAGGAGCGAAAGCAUGGGGAGCGAACAGG
rnacentral:rRNA from 1 species